UACGGGGGGGGCAAGCGUUGUUCGGAAUUACUGGGCGUAAAGGGCUCGUAGGCGGCCAACUAAGUCAGACGUGAAAUCCCUCGGCUUAACCGGGGAACUGCGUGUGAUACUGGAUGGCUUGAGUUUGGGAGAGGGAUGCGGAAUUCCAGGUGUAGCGGUGAAAUGCGUAGAUAUCUGGAGGAACACCGGUGGCGAAGGCGGCAUCCUGGACCAAUACUGACGCUGAGGAGCGAAAGCCAGGGGAGCAAACGGG
rnacentral:rRNA from 1 species